rnacentral:lncRNA from 1 species
UCAAGAAUCAAACCGUUAGACUCUUCUAUUAUGAUUAAAGAAAAAGACAUAACUAGGAAUAAGAGUAACCAAAAAGCACCCAGUAACAUAAACAUUUUAGAGAUUGUAUUAUAAUAUAUAUUUGGAUAGAGUCCUAGCUCAUACAUCAAACGAAAAGCAAGAACCACAAUAAUAAGGGAAAACAAGUACAUUUAUUCAUACUUUAGAAAAGCUAAGGAAGAAAGAUUUUUAUACUUCUCUCUUCUCUUUAAAAUCUAUAUAUAUAUAGGCUUUCGUUACUUUCUUGGCUGGUGUAUCUUGAUAGUAAAGCUCUAGCAGUUGGGGCGAGGAAGGUUGCACUUUGGAGGAAGCUGCAAGGCAAGGUUUGGAUCAAUUCCAAGGGAAGGAAGCAAGUUAGAAUUCUUGUAGGAGCAAAGGCAGCGCAUGUCGGCAUGAGUGAGAGCUGAGCAACAGGCGCUGGUUGGGGCAGAGGGAUUGGGAGGAGUAACGGCAGGCUUGCAGGCCAUUAGGCCAGAAAUUGGGACGUUGCAUAUGGAUUGCGCAUUAGAAACCUGAACUACUCCAUUAUUUGCUAUGGCUAUAACCAAUAUCAUAGCCAAAUAAAGAACGGCUUGAUUUGAACUCUCUCCAUUAAUGGCUUUCUUUCUAUGCACUGAACUAAACUCCUUCUUUUGCUAGUUUUGGGGUGNNNNNNNNNNNNNNNNNNNNNNNNNNNNNNNNNNNNNNNNNNNNNNNNNNNNNNNNNNNNNNNNNNNNNNNNNNNNNNNNNNNNNNNNNNNNNNNNNNNNNNNNNNNNNNNNNNNNNNNNNNNNNNNNNNNNNNNNNNNNNNNNNNNNNNNNNNNNNNNNNNNNNNNNNNNNNNNNNNNNNNNNNNNNNNNNNNNNNNNNNNNNNNNNNNNNNNNNNNNNNNNNNNNNNNNNNNNNNNNNNNNNNNNNNNNNNNNNNNNNNNNNNNNNNNNNNNNNNNNNNNNNNNNNNNNNNNNNNNNNNNNNNNNNNNNNNNNNNNNNAUAUUUUAUUUAAAUAUAUAUAAUCUCGCAAUGGGUAUUAUUCAUCAUAUCUGAGUGAAAAAUUGUUACAAUAUUGGAUCGGGUUACGAGUUGAUUCGAAUCUAUUUGUAUUUAUAAUUAUAUAUAAAUAAUAAAAAGAAAUAGAUAUCCAAUGAUAAAUUACUACUAUGCGUGGCACGAAUAUUUAUAUGUACAUAAGAUUGGAUACGUCAUAUAAAAAGUUAUCAUUACACUAACUUCUACUCUCUCAUAAUCAAAGAGAAAACUCUCUGCAAUUGUGAAAAUACAGGGUACUUGGGUUGUGAUACAAGAGUGCAAGAUUUAAUAACUCUCUAUGUAAUUCAUUCGGUCCAUUUGAAUCUUCAAUAAGGGCCGGAUAGCCUAAAAGUCACUCUAAAAGCUGCUCUACUCUCUUAAGAAUGGUUACUAUUCUGACUCGAACAGAGAAAUGAUUUUACAAUUGAACAGAUCGAACUAUCAUGAAAACCUAACUGGAGGCUAAUCUUCAAUUGGAUACUGCUAUUAACUGUAAAAACUUCUUCAAAUUCUUUAACUAAGCCGUUUAUCUUUUAGUAGUACAAACAACUUUAACUUAGAACAAAAAUCCACCACUAUUAACUUCGAUACCCCUUGUAGAAAUUUCAAAAAGUCUGCAUGAAAUUUGAUAAAUGGGAAAAUGAGAGAAAAUCCUUAUAAACAACUUUGAUUUGUUCUUUUCUCUGCAUGAAAUUUCCAAUAAAUUCAAGAAAUUUCCAGUCUUAGGAAAAUAGAGAGAAAAUUCUUAUUUACAAUUUUAAAUGGGAAACUGAAAAAAUCCUUACUUAUAUAUAAGUUUUGAACCAACAAUUUUAUAAACCUUUGCUCUUCACCAAAACCUUUUUUCUUUUGGCUACUGCUGAUCAUCUUUUAGAUUAACGGUGAUCCCUUCUUAUUUUUAUUUAUAUUCUUCUAUUUUGAUCGCUAAAUACAGAUCUUUUAUUUGUAUGUUUUUUUAUUUAUUAUUACUAUUAGAAUUUCUUAAUUUCUAUUUUUAUUGAGUUUUUAUUCCCUUUAUGGAGAUUUUGAUUACAUUUUAUGGGAUUUGAAUCUUUCUUUCUGGAUGCAUUCACAAAAUGGAGCUGCAUGUUGAUAGUAAGAACUUGUUUGUUGAUGGUCUCACAAUCAGACUCAUUUAAAGAUCAAAGAGUCGAUUUGUGAUUUAAAAUAACUAUUGAUUGGAGCGCACAGAUCUCCGAGCUUAUAAGUUAAAAGAGUUUUAUCAAUGCAAUUGAAGAUAUGAAUACAAGUUUUUAACUCUUUAAGUGAUAUUUUUCUUUUGUACUUCUUGAUUGUAGUGAUCUUUAUUUUUAGAAAAAAUUACAAAUUUGGUGUUUUAACUUUAAGUUCUUUUAAUUUUGGUGUCUAAAUUACUUUUUUUAUUUAAUUAAGUGUUUAGGCUACUAAAAAUAAUAAUUUUCUUUUAAUUAAGUAUUUAGACUACUAAUUUUUUUUGAUAUAGUACCUUUAGCCAGUUUUACAGGUUAAAGUGUUUAUAUGAGUUAUUUGAACAUGAAAUUGAAUUAAUACCCUUUUUAAAGAUAAUAUUCUACUUUCAUUUUUUUUCUUUUUUUAGUAUUAUUUUUUAAAAGAUUUGUACAUUUCUCGAGAAAUUAAAAGAAAAAAAUGUAAGAUUCUUCUUUUUAUUCAUUCAUUCAAAUAAAAAAAUAAACAGUAUCUUUUAUUGUUUUAUUUUGUUGAUUCACCUUAUAUAUAUAUAUAUAUAUAUAUAUAGACACACACACAUCUUUAUCUUUUUAGUAAUAAAAGAAUAUUUAAUAAAAAAUAGAAAGAAGACCAAAGCAUAAGAAAGAGAAGAAAAAUAGAAAAAAAUAGUAAGUAACAAUGAGUAAAAAUAUUUAGGUCAUUUCAUAUGUAAAUGUUGAGUUAAAUUAUUACUUUAACUUGUAAACCAUGUAAGAGAUACCAUAAUAUAUAUAUAUAAUAACAAAUUCAGACACUUGAUUGAAUAAAAAAUAAUUCAAACACUAAAAUAGAAAAACCAAAAAAUUAAGACACCAAAUUUGAAAGUCUUAUUGACUAUAUACAAAGAGAAAAUUGGUACAGUUCAAGAUAACGAUUUUUAUACUAUAACACGAUUCUGAAAAUUCUUAAAUUCUCGGAAUUCUCUAAACCGUACUCAUUCCUAAUUUUGGUCCAACUCAUAAGUAUCUUUCAUAACAUUGAUGGGUGGAAAAAGAGUGAGUAAAAUUCAAUGAGAUGAUAGACAAAUAACUAGAGAGACCGCCCAAUAUACCACCGUUUAAAAAUCCUGAAACUUUUAAGAAUAGCAAAUCUUAUAUCUUUAGAAAUCUUUUUUUUUUUUUUUUUUUUUUUUUUUUUUAUAAUCAGAUCAUAAGAAAAAUUAUUUUAAAAUCCACCUCAAAGAAUGGAAUUUUCUGGAUGACCAAUCAUCAUGCUUAAUUCUCUAAUCCUCCACAAAUCACCGCCAUUUUGCUUCCUUUUUAAAUUUUUUUUUGGUGAAACUAAUGCAACAAUUACUAUUGAUAAUAUAUAAAUAUACCACUAUUCAAUCAGAUCCUUAAAUAUUUAAUCUCUAACUGUUAUCUCUAAUUAAUACUUAGACAAUUAAACAUUUUAAAACCUAAUGCUAUGCUUCGGUUGCAGAGUCCAAAAUAGCCCUGCCCAAGUUGGGUCAUAGUAUCUAAUUUUUUAUUUUCACUUUUCCGAACCGUGAAGUCUAGCAAUAUAAAGCUUUAUCCACUAUUGACUUAACCCAAUCUCAGAGAAAGUCAAAGAAUGAGAACCCAAGCCAUAAUGUUACUCCUACUUUCAUAUCACUAUUAGGGCUUUGUUACUAGUUCUGGAGAGAAAGUGGAGUGAAAAGAUGUAAUAUUUACCCAAUGGAUGUAAAUUACUCUAUUAGUGUAAACUAUUCUGACCCAACUCAUAAAUAUCCUACAAGGAGAAACAAUGGUGGAAAAACAGCGAGUAAAACUCGGUGAGAGGAUAAACAAUAACAAGGAGAAACAGAUAAACAUUUUAAAAUCAUAACUCAUACUAUACAUAUAACCUGAAAAUUGUUAACCAACUGUACAAAUGCCAGUAAUAAAAUAUGAUAAUUCUGAAUUGGUCUCAAUAACAAAAUCAUCAAGUAACAACGAUAAAAUCUAAUACAAACUCAUAGAUAUACCUCGAAGAUCUUGGUAGCAAUAGGCACAAAGAUAUCUUACCUAGUAGCCCAAGCGCAAAUCUCUAUUAUAUGCGCACAGACAUGCCCUCAAAAGGCGACUACUUAGUAUACGCCCUAAAGCCAUGUAUAUAGUGAAUGAUGUCCCAAAGACAGUAAAUCAUUUAUUUUGUUACUGAAUCAACAUCCGACAUUCAAGGUGUGAUCAUUUAGGCCACAUAUAUGAGUGUUAUUCAGCUAUAUAAAAUCUAAUAUAUAAAUAUAAAAAAAAAAACUAAACUGCCAUUAUCCAUUCCUGAGUUCUAUAGAAGAAUAUUUUAAUUUUUUACAUCGAAUUUUAUAAAAAUAAUGACUUUUCUCAUAAAAGUAUUUAAAUAAAACUAAUCAUAUAAUAUAAUUAAAAAUUACAAUGUUAUAAGUUUAUUCAUUCACGUAGUAUGCAUGAUCCAAGUUGAAUAUAUCUUCCGCUCAACUUGCUAACUUUUUCUCGAAUUGACAUUAUACACUUAAUCCUAUAAAUCACGCAUAUAUAUAAUUUAAAAAUAGUCAAAAUCCUAUUUCUUGAUAAUACCUAACUAAUUUCUAAUAUCUAAUAUAUAAGUAUAAUAUUAUUUUUAUUUAAAAAUAUUACUUUUAUUUAAUCCUAUUAAUUAUCUUUUUAUUUUAAUUAAUUUUACUAAAAAUUUAGCAGCAUCUGUUUUGUAAAUCAGACUAAUUCUCUUUAUGAAACGGUCCAUUUCCUGCUAAAAACACUUCUAUAAUUACAAACUUACAUAUCCAUAGUCAAGUUGAGUCCCCGAACUACUUACUAUUGCCAAAGUUCCAAUAACAUUAGUACACAAGAAUCAUUAGCUACUUAAAAUACUAUUCAUUUAUUAUGCCUAAAUAAAUUCAAUUAAUAAGUAUAAAUUAGCUAUCAAGCUUAGUUCAGUCAAAUUCAAUAUUUAAUUAUCUAUUAAAACCAUUAGUUAUCAAUAACUAACUUAAAACAAUUAAUUACAUGAUCAAUUAUCUAUUAAUGAAUCCAAUUAAACCAAUUAUACAUACUCUAAGUUAAGCUUUCAAUUAUUAAUAGAACUAUUACAGUUACAAUUAUGAUUUACUAUCCAUUCACCAAUCACGUUUGUAAAAAGAAAAUCAUUUUCUUUACCAAAUUAACAUUUACUUAUGUUGAAUCAAUUUAAUUUAAUCUGAAUAACUAAUUAACCCACUAAUUAAAUUUUUAUUCACCAACCAAUUAACUAAAACAUCUCAUUCAAAUAAUAAAUUUAAAUAACUAACUCAAAUUAAAUAACUUAAGUCUAAAAUAUGACUGAGCACGGAUAGCUCCAAUUCAGUUAUUUAUAAAUCACUAGUACCGUACCAAACCUCGGUUCUUUUAAAAUUUAAAAUACGAAUAUCGUACCAAAUAUAAAUGGUACCAUAUUGUAUUGAACUAAUUUUUUCAGUUCCGUACUAUUUUCGGUUCUAACAUUCACAGAAAAUACGAAUUUAUAUCUUACCUUUAAUCAAAUAUAUUAAAAAAAUACGAUUGACAUCCAAAUGAAACUAUUAUAAGAAUUAGAAUUAAAUAGAAUUGCAAUUACAUUCUUAAAUAACUUGCUUUGCAAUUUAGUCCACUUACAAAUAUAAUAAUUUAAUAUUCUAAUAUAAACUAUUAAAAUAUCUGCUAUUGCUAGCAAAUAAUAUUUUGCAGAUGGCAAGCAUUAAAAUAAAAAAAAUUACAAACUAUAUACUAAAAUAUAAGUCUAAUUUUAAAUGUGAGAAAUGCGGCUAGCAUAGUGUUUAUGAAUCGAGAGCCUAAGUGUGAGAAAAUAAACUCAUGAACUGAGAUUUGAGACAUGCAGCUGGCUGCUGUAGUAGAUGGUAUUAGUAAAAAAGAAAUUAAAACUUAAGUAUAAAGUGCAUUAGUAAUAUAGUAUAUACACUAUACAACAAAUAUUAUAUAUAUAUAUAUAUAUAUAUAUAUAUAUAUAUAUAUAUAUAUAAUUAUUAAUUAAUAUAUAUAAAAAUUCAGUUAUAUGGUUUGGUCCAGAUCAAUACAAAAUGGCUCAGUUCUGGUACGGUUAUUACUAAAGAACCAGUACCAUACCGUAAUAGUAAAAUAUUUUUGGAUUAGUAUAGUUCGAUUAUAAAGCUCUUGGUUAUUUUGGUUGUGGUACUUUUCAGUAUGAUUAUUCGGUUCAUAUAUAUAUAUAUAUAUCAUCUAUUCUUAAUGGAAUAUAAAGUAUAUCUAAUAUAUAGUUAAUAAUUUAUAGGUAUUAUAUAAUAUAUAUAAUUAUUAAUAAAUAUAUAUAAAAAUUCAGUUAUACGGUUUGGUCCAGAUCAAUACAAAAUGGCUCAGUUCUGGUACGGUUAUUACUAAAGAACCAGUACCAUACCGUAAUAGUAAAAUAUUUUCGGAUUAGUAUAGUUCGAUUAUAAAACUUUUGGUUAUUUUGGUUGUGGUACUUUUUAGUAUGAUUAUUCGGUUCAGGCGGGAAUCACCAAGAUACAUGCUCAGCUCUAGUCUAAAAUCAAGUUUUCUUGUUUUAAAUAACUAUACUCUUAAAUUCUUUACUUGAUAGUCCAAAUUAACAUAAUGAAUACAUAUAACAUUUUGCAUCAAUUAUUAAUUUACUAUUUCCAUACAAUAAGCUAUUAAAUUAUAAUAUCAUUACUACAAUUGUCAUUCAAAAUCAAUUUUUGUGCUUCUGAUCGCUGAAUUUUCACCUUCAAGGGCACAUGGCAACUGUAGUAUAGAAUUAUAAAUCAAAAUCGAUCCCAUGAGAAUAAGAUCUAAUAUAUAUGUCUAAAAGUGUGUAAAAUAAAUUAUAAAAUUUAUAGUAAAAAUUAUUAAAACUAACAAAAUAAAAAAAUAGAUUGAUUAUUGGAUUUUAGAAUACUGGAGAUCUAGAUUUCAUCUAAUGGAUUAAUUAUGGAUAACAAUUCUAAAGUUUAUUCUUGAAUGCAAUUUUUUCUAAAAUAUAUUAAUUGUCUAUCAAGUAAUUUGCCUAUAUCUAAUCAAGCAAUUAUCAAUUCUUAAGGAUAAUUACUUAACUAAACCCGUUAAGCAACAAUUAUUCUAGAUCUAGAUCUGUAUUUCUCAUUUAAAUUCAUCAUACAAAUCCUAAAAAAAAAUACUAUAGUGGCCAAUAAAAGCAUUUACGAUAAUCUUAAGAAUAAUAAAUUAAGAAUUCAACAAACUCUAUAUUGAAUCUAUAAUCAAAACCAACAAAUUACAUCUUUCUCUCUACAAUGAGAGUUUGGUUGUUCAUGGUUAUAAAGCAAUAAAUAUAAAGAAAAACUAAAGAAGACAUAAUUAAGAAAGAGUUAAGAUAAAUACUACUUUGAAUCAUGAAAAUUAGAAAGCCUCCUUAAAUCAUGUAGCCAAAUCUUAGAUCUCCAUUCAAAACAAUGUAUGUAAUACCAGUAUCUAAGGAAUAAUAAUAAUAAUAAUAAUAAUAAUAAUAAUAAUAAUAAUAAUAAUAAUAAUAAUAAUAAUAAUAAUAAUAUCUCAAACUAGAGGCUUAAAAAUAAUAAUAAUUAAUUAAUUAAUUAAUGUGUGAAAUUGAAUUAACAAAUUAUAUUUUAAAAAUUCUGGAUGAAAUAUAAGAGAUCAUUGUCGAGUCUUAAAUUUAAAGAGGAUUUUAAUAUUGGAUUAAAAUAAAAAAAAAAUUAUUAAUUUAUAUUAAAUUAAUUUGCUUAAAUAGCAAAUUAGAUAAGUGAUUUAUAUAAAGGGUAAAUUAUUUCUUUAUAAAUGUCACACUCAAAAAAUUUUCAGAGUUUUUUAAAAGGAAAGGAAUUCUACACCAAACUACAUGCAUUAAUACCCUGGAACAAAAUGAGAUCUCAGAAAGAAAAAACAGACAUCUAUUUGGAGUCACAAGAACCCUUCUUUUUUAAAAUAAUGUUCCAACUACCUACUGGUCGGAUGCCAUCCUAACCGCCACAUAUCUUAUCAAUAGGUUACCAAGCGUAAAAUUAAAAAAUCUCAGUCUAUUAAAAAUUCUCAAGGGAAGAAAAAUAGAAUUAGGACACAUUCGAAUUUUUGGUUGCACCGUUUUUGUCCAUAUUAAACGACUUAACAAGUUCGAUAAAAGCUCAAUUAAAACCUUAUUUUUAGGAUACUCCACAGAAAAAAGGGUAUAAAUGCUAUGAUCCCACCACACACAGAACUUAUGUCUCCAGGGAUGUGUCAUUUAUAGAACAUGAACCCUACUACAAGGAGUAUGACCAUCAUGGUACUAAUCCCAACCAUAUUCAUGGGUCACACACUUUACUAUUUCUGCAUAACCCUGUCUUUUCUGACAGUAGCAGUCAAGAACAGGACAAUCACCUAGAAGGGGAGCAAAAUACAAACUUAAGGACAAUUCCUUCAGGGGAGACAACGUGACAAGCAAUGAAGAAAUCGUGCCACCUCCUUACGAAGAAAUUGCCUUAAGAAGAUCCAUUUGAUCGACCAGGCCUCCUGUCAGUUUAAGGGACUAUGUUUCCUAUAAGGUAUCGUAUCUGAUUCAACACUUCAUCACUUACGAGUCAAUGUCAAAACAAUAUCAAGCCUAUCUAGGAAACAUCACAACACACACAGAAUCUACAUCCUUUUAUGAAGCGAACACUGACCCCAAGUGGUACAAAGCCAUGAAAGAAGAACUUUGUGCUCUAGAAAAAAAUAACACGUGGAAUAUUGUUCCUUUACCAUUAAAAAAGAAAACUGUAAGGUAUAAAUGGGAGUAAAAAAUAAAAUAUAACUGUGAUGGAACAAUCGAAAGAUACAAGGCUAGGUUAGUAGCCAAAGGGUCUACCCAAACUUCUGGUGUUGAUUACCAGGAAACCUUUGCACCGGUAGCAAAAAUGAAUAUUGUCCAUAUUUUACUGUCUGUAAUUACUAACUCAGGAUGGAGUUUGUUCCAAAUGGAUGUUAAAAAUGCAUUCCUUUAAGGCACUCUGGAAGAAGAAAUCUAUGUGACCCUUCCCCCAGGUCACAAGUCCACAUCAGAUGCUUCCCUGGUAUGUAAGCUAAAAAAGGUAAUUUAUGGAUUAAAGCAAUCCCCAAGAGCAUAGUACACCAAGCUAAGCCUCUUUCUCUUAAAUAUCAAUUUCAAUAAACGCACGUCAGAUUCCUCUAUGUUUGUAGAACACACUCACACAUACACUAUUAUUAUUCUUGUAUAUGUGGAUGAUAUCAUCAUAACCGGUAACGAUAAUGAAGAAAUUGAAAAAGUUAAAUAAAGGCUAAAGAGGGAAUUCGACAUCAAAGAUCUAGGUCAAUUAUCAUACUUUCUUGGAAUAAAAAUAGCCAAAUCACAUAAAGGCCUGUUUCUGUCUCAAAGAAAGUAUGUACUCGACCUUCUAAAAGAAACUGGAAAACUAGGAGCUAAACCAACAAAUACUCUAAUGGAAACCAAUGUUAAACUCAAUUUGGAGGACGGUGAUCUACUAACUAGCAUAGGGCAUUAUUAACUCCUAGUAGGUAAAUUAAUCUAUCUAACCGUCAUUAGACCUGAUAUUGCUUACGCAGUAAGUAUGGUAAGCAAAUUUAUGCAUGCUCCUUGUACCAGUCAUCUGGAGGCUAUUGAUAGAAUACUUAGGUAUCUCAAGGGCACUCCAGGUCAAGAAAUCUGGAUGAACAAAAUAACACUAACACCAUAGUUAGCUUCUCUGAUGCAGAUUGGGCAGGAAGCAGUGAUAGAAAAUCAACUACAGGUUUUUGCACCUUCGUAGGAGAAAACUUGGUAACAUGGAAAAGUAAGAAGCAAAGUGUAGUGGCAAGAUCGAGCGCAGAAGCUGAAUAUUGAGCCAUGGCAUCUACGGUGAGUGAACUCAUUUGGAUCAAACAAUUACUCCUCGAUAUGAAAAUAGAAUGUAAAGGACCCAUGCAAAUGUACUGCGACAAUCAAGCGGCUUGGCAUAUAGCAUCCAACCCAGUGUUCCAUGAAUGAACCAAGUACAUCGAAGUUGAUUGUCACUUCAUCAAAGAAAAAGUAUAAUCAGGAGAAAUCGAGACACCAUUUGUUAGAAAUCAUGAUCAGCUAGCUGACAUAUUUACAUAAAGUACUCAACAAGACAAACCAUCAAAUCAUCCUCAACAAGAUGGAUUUUGUCAACCUAUACGAACCCAACUUGAGGGGGAGUGUUAAAAGUAGAAAAACAAACAACACAGAAACAAGCAACAUAGAAGUCUCAGAAACUGCGCAGGCAGAAAGCCUGUGCAGGUCUCUUCCUCAUAGACUUCCAAAAAAGGGAGCAACCAUUUCUGCCAAAGAGAAAUGCCACUUCAACCUUUCUUGAAGAAGAAUUGGAUGUUAGACAUAGGUCUCAAGGCAACCGUUACUAUAGGAUUAGGCUACCGUUGAAACAGUAUAUAUAUAAGCAACAACAUUCAACCUAUAAUACUCAGAAUUUUAUAAUACAAUUCAUCAUUUGAUUACUCAAACUUCAACAAAUUCUAGAGUCCGCUUCUCUCUAAGACCGAUCCAAGAGUUGGUUUUUAACUCGAAAAAACUUUGGAUUUGCUUGAUUGUGCCAUAAUUCCCUAAAAACACAUAAAUAACAAUUAAGUAACUAAAUCACAUUCAAAGUUAAAUCACAUUCAAACUCUAUAAAUUAUAAGAAUAACACCAAUAAACACUCGGUAAAAUAAUGAAAAUACACUUAUAAAUUACUGUUAUCAAUGGAGCAAUAUUUUGCCUAUUCUUACAUGUUGGAAUUAUUGUGUGCUUGUAUCAGGUGAUUAUGUCGCGAUCAUGCAAUGUGAUGAUUGUAGAAGUCAUAUAGAGUCUUUCGAUAAUACAUAGAAAGUUUGAAGUUUUGUUUAAAGGUGUCAAUCAAUCAUGAGCUUAGAAAAUAGAAUUUCUUUGCUGAAUCUCUAUCAAGCAAGGCGUCAGACGCAAUAAAUAAUUUAUUGCCUGUCACUAGAGGAAAUCUUAGAAAGGUUGAAUUUGAUGUUAGCAUGGAUGAAGUUGAUCUCACCCAAUCUGAACGAGAAGUUAAUGAGGAAGAAGCAUUGUAUGUUUGGUUUUUGUUUGUGGUUUUUCUGCUUGUCAUGGCUUUGCCUGUUCGGGUGUUGUUGCUGCUGGUUUAAACUCUAUAACAGUUCGCGUAUGCUUUCUGCUGCUCGUGUUGUUGCGGCCCACUUAUUUCAUAGUGAUGUAGUUUGUUUCAGUUUUUCUUGUUUUGCUUUGAACCAGUUGAUAUUAUUUUGUUGCUUAGUUUUUAGGAGGAGUAUUUUCUUCAAUUUGUACUCUUUGUGCAAAUUGGCUUUUUAGCUAUAUUAAUAAAAUUAUUGGCUUAUCAAAGAAGAAGGAAGGCUGAAGUUAUAAAUACUUCAAAAGCGGACCACCACUUAAUUUACAGAUUGGUUCAUUAUAUUAACUAAAUAAGUUAUAACAAACAAUUGGAAAAAUUCUAAGGUCAAUAUGACUCAAUAUACAGUGUUGAUAUAUAGUCUUGAUAUCAAUGGUCUAAAGAUUAAUAGAAAACAUGUUUAACUUGUAUUAUAAGUUAGAGGUAGGGGCGCUCUAGAAAACAACUAAAGAAUGUGAUUGAUCGUAAAGUAAGAACAACUCUUCCUCACCAUGGAAAAUUACAGUGUUUCAGCAAAAGAAUUUUCAAAUGGCAAAUUGGAAAUCAAAUGCCCCAAAUUUUCCAAGUGUUGUUUUGAUUCUUGGAAAAUUAGAAAUGAAUGUCCCAAGUUUACUAGUUUUCCUACCAACUAUCCGGUCAAUGUUAACUUUGAUUUCCACACGGAAAUGAUAUUUUCCAAAUUAUUAGUACAAAUCAACGACUGUACAUAUGGUGCCAAAAAAUUGACUCUCAAAGUCUAUGUUUCAAUUUUGUUGUCUUAAUAUGUAGUCUUUUAAUUGAAGAGACAUUUAGCUGGCCUGUUUUCUUUAAUAUACUUAUAUAUAUAUAGAUAUAUAUUUAUUGAUAUAUGUCUUUAUUUAAUACAUCCACGAGUAUUGCAUAAAGAUAUUUAAAUAUUACUAAAAAAUAAAAUUCAAAUUUAUAUUAGGUUAAAGUAAAAGAUAAAUAUAUUUAAAUAUUAUAAAAAAAUAAAAUUCAGAUAUUUGUUCGAUUAAAUCAGAUAUUAAAGUAUUAAACUAACUAAUAGAUACAAAUUCAAAAACAUAAAUAUAUAUUUGCCCAAUAUAUAUCGACCUAGUCAGUUAAUUUCUUUUUUUUUUUUUCUGAAAUAAAUGUUUUCUUAUAUACAUAUGAGCUGAAUUUUAAAAGUGUUUUAGAUAAGUUUUUAACAUAUGUCUAGCAAAAAAAUUUAUCAUAAAAGUAACUGACAUGACAUUACUAAAAAGAUCUAAGAUUUUAUUGUAUUAAAAUUGCUAUAGGACGUUGUUAUCAAUAUAUUUAAUAUGUUGAAUGAUAAUUAGUUUUCAAAGUUAAACAAUAAUUCUAAUAAAAAAGUUGUCAAAGAGCCAUUGCACCAAUUAGAACUAAUAAAAGGUUUAGAGUUCGUCUAACGACUAUUUGUAUAUUAUUUAUUAAAUAUGACACAAGGUAAAAUAGGCUUGUACUCGUCUAUGUUUUAAGUUUAAUGGGCAUUUGGAUUUGAGAUAAUAUUGGAAAUAUAAAACUAUUUUUGUGCCUUUAUUUAACAGCUUAAAUUUUUGAGUUAGUAAAAUGUUUUUUUAACCAAAAGAUUUAAUUUUAUACAUUAUGAUACUAAUUUUGAAACUUACAAACAUUAAAAAUAUCAUGAAACCUAUUUAUGAUAAUGUUUAGCAUAUAAUAUUUAUUUUAAAGAUUACACCCGACAAACACUUCAAAAAUAUUAAAAACUUUUUCAAUUAAGAAGGUUUUUAAUUAAAAAAUAUAAAUUUUUGUUAAUUUCUAUAUGAAUCUCUUUAUUAUUUGUCGGACUUUAUAUGUAAAUUUAUAUUUAAAUAAAGAAAUAAAAUUUUGGAGUUUUUGAAUUGAAAAAUNNNUCCACUCAUGGUAAUGCAUUAUGGAUGUGAGGGUCAAAAACCUCUUAAAUUUCACAUGUGAAUACUAAUUUUAUUGAAACAAUUUCUUGUAUGGUGGGAAGUUAGAAAAGGGCUAGUCCUAAUAUUACUAUAAUUCAAUAAUCAAUCAAGAACAAAGGUAGAAGUUAGUUAUAAUUAUUAUAGUGAAACCCAAUGACUAAUUAGGAACUAAGAACUUAUGAGUGCAAGCUUAUCAAAAUGAUGAGGAAUCAGCAAUCACUAAAUUCCCAAUAUGCGAUUUGUGUAUUUUUACUAAUCUGAUUUUUUCUUUUCUGUUUUAUUUUUCAAAGAAAGAAGAUCUAUUAUUAAGCUUUAAUGAAAAUUACAUUCUAAAGAUUGCCUCAAAAAAAUCUUACCAUGUAAAACCCAUAAGGAUAAAACUACAAUAAGGGAUAGACAAGUUAAUUACUAAUUAUGUUUGUGUUGUAUGCAUUGCCAAACAUUUGGACUCCAUUGAAUCGUUUAUAGACUUCUCUAAAAGGGAAAAAGAACAAAGUAAGUGUUAAAAAUCAAACCGUUAGACUCUUGUAUAAUGAUUAAAGAAAAAACAUAAACUUGGAAUAAGAGUAACUAAAAAGCACCCAGUAACAUAAACGUUUUAAAGAUUGUCACAAUAUAUAUUUGGAUAGAAUCCUAGCUCAUACAUCAAACGAAAGACAAAAACCACAACAAUAAUAGAAAUCAAGUACAUUUAUUAAUACUAUAAAAAGCUAAGAAAGAAAGAUUUUUAUACAUCUCUCUUUUCUUUAAAAUCUAUAUAUAUUCUUUUUUGUUACUUUCUUUGCUGGUUUAUCUCGAUAAUAAACCUCUAGCAGUUGGGGCGAGGAAGCUUGCACUUUGGAGGAAGCUGCAAGGCAAGGUUUGGAUCAAUUCCAAGGGAAGGAAGCACGUUAGAGUUCUUGUAGGAGCAAAGGCAGCGCAUGUCAGCGUGAGUGAGAGCUGAGCAACAGGCGCUGGUUGGCGCAGAGGGAUUGGGAGGAGUGACGGCAGGUUUGCAGGCCAUUAGGCCAGAAAUGGGGACGUUGCAUACGGAUUGGGCAUUACAAACCUGAACUACCCCAUUAUUUGCUAUGGCUAUAACCAGUAUCAUAGCCAAAGCAAUGAACGGCUUGAUUUGAACUCUCUCCAUUAAUGGCUUUCUUGCUAUGCGCUGAACUGUACUCCUCCUUUUGCUAGUUUUGGGGUGCUGG